rnacentral:rRNA from 1 species
CAGUCGCCGCGGGAAUACGAAGGGGGCUAGCGUUGUUCGGAAUUACUGGGCGUAAAGGGCGCGUAGGCGGCCAUUCAAGUUAGAUGUGAAAGCCCUGGGCUCAACCUAGGAAUUGCAUUUGAUACUGUUUGGCUUGAGUUCGGGAGAGGUGAGUGGAAUUCCCAGUGUAGAGGUGAAAUUCGUAGAUAUUGGGAAGAACACCAGUGGCGAAGGCGGCUCACUGGUCUGUAACUGACGCUGAGGAGCGAAAGCGUGGGGAGCGAACAGGAUUAGAUACCCCCGUAGUCCCUGUCUCUUAUAA